CGGGCAGCGAGGAGGCCCCGAGCGGGACACGGAGGGAGCAGCGGAGGUGGCUGCCGGGUGAGUGAGGAGCGAGUGGGUGCCGCGGUUGGGCUUUGAGGAGGAAAGAGGCAGAAGCGGAAGGUUUGAGGUCCGGAAGAGCCGCGGGGGUCACUGCUGUGCGGGUAAACUGAGGCACGGUGCGGCCCUGGCGCAGCGCGGGGGGGUCAGUUUGCGGCUGGAGCAGCCUGGGAAGGGAUAAUCCCCAUGGAUCCUGUGCUCAGCUCCGGGCCCCUCGCUGUGAGAGGGACAUUGAGGCGCUGGAGCGGGGCCAGUGAUGGGCAGUGAGGCUGGAGCACAAGUGAUGGGGAAGGGCUGAGGGAUCUGGGGGCUCAGGUGGAGAAGGGAAGGCUCGGGGGGACCUGAUUGCUCCCUACAACUGCCUGAGAGGAGGAUGGAGCCAGGAGGGUGCUCUGCUCCCAAGGGAUGGGAUGAGAGGAAACGGCCUCAGCUGCACCGGGGCAGGUUCAGAUGGAGCUGAGGAACAAUUCCUGCCCCAAAGGAUGCUCAGCACUGGGGCAGGGUUGGGCUGGAUGAGCUUAAAGCUCUUUUCCAACCUCUUUGAUUCCAUGAUUUUUAUCCCUGCUUUCUGUGGUCCACAUUUCCAGGCCUCGGCCCUGGAAGGUUCCUAUCCCCUCUAUUAUAGGGUGGUGGUGGCUGCUCCUCCGCUUGCAUGGGGUGCUGUCCGUGGGCUCUGCACAGGCUGUUUGCUGCUCUGGAGGCAGCUUCAGGCUGACAAAUGAAAUGGGUGCGUUGGCAUCCUCCAGCACCAGAAAUAACCUGCUUGCACCUAUCCUGCUCACUGCAGUCUCUGCUUUCCAAGCAUGGAGAUAACAGAGGGACAGUACCGCGGGGAAGACUGGCCAAGCUACUGCAGCCACUUGGCCUGGCACCAUGGCAAAUACCCCUCAGGGAGGUUUGCACCCCAGAAGAGGGGACCCCUUGGGGUGAGUGGGGCAGCGCUGGACCCAUCCCGGAAGAAGAGCCAAGAGCCAAGAGUAGAAGAGGGAAGUUUAAUCCUCAGAGCACAUGGGUGACAGCAUCGGGCUGGCUGCACGUCCAGCCCCAUCCGCCGGGGCCCCCAAAGCCCCCCCCAAGGAAGGAAGAAUGACAGGAACGUGUUAACCUCCCCCCAGUGCCUUUGGUAAAGUGCGUGUGAGUGCUGCAGGCCCUAAUGCCCAUGGGGUCCCCAAAAUCCCACCUGGGAGGCCCAAAGCCCAGCAGGACCAUCGGGGCAGGGAGCGCACACUGCAGCGGGACCCCACCCCCAUCGGGGAGCUGAGUGCUAA
rnacentral:lncRNA from 1 species